UCAGAGGUUGGGACAACUCUUCCUGCCUUUGCCACCUCCUUAAUUACCUGACCAACUUUCCUCAGGCUGAAGAAGCCAGUGGACUUCCCCCAGCUCUGCGAUGCCACCUGAUCUGUCACAGUCCUUCCAGUUCACAGCAAAUAUGAAGCCCUCGUGAGGGGACAAAACAUGACUUGGAGGUACAGAGAAAUGCCAGCUGCUGUCAGAUUAAUUCAGGGGUGAAACUACCACGUCUAUAAAUAACCCAAAGGAGCUUUAAUGUUCACCCCUGGUGUGUGCACGCCGUGUGAAUUUUUGGUGGCUGCUCUGGAGUGGAGCGUGCAAACUUCACGUAUUCAGGAGAAGAUGACUCCGUUGGUAA